rnacentral:rRNA from 1 species
UACGAAGGGGGCUAGCGUUGUUCGGAAUCACUGGGCGUAAAGCGUACGUAGGCGGAUGCUUAAGUCAGAGGUGAAAGCCUGGAGCUCAACUCCAGAACUGCCUUUGAUACUGGGCGUCUUGAGUCCGGGAGAGGUGAGUGGAACUGCUAGUGUAGAGGUGAAAUUCGUAGAUAUUAGCAAGAACACCAGUGGCGAAGGCGGCUCACUGGCCCGGUACUGACGCUGAGGUACGAAAGCGUGGGGAGCAAACAGG